UACGGGGGGGGCAAGCGUUGUUCGGAAUUACUGGGCGUAAAGGGCUCGUAGGCGGCCAACUAAGUCAGACGUGAAAUCCCUCGGCUUAACCGGGGAACUGCGUCUGAUACUGGAUGGCUUGAGUUCGGGAGAGGGAUGCGGAAUUCCAGGUGUAGCGGUGAAAUUCGUAGAUAUUCGCAAGAACACCAGUGGCGAAGGCGGCUCACUGGCCUGAUACUGACGCUGAGGCACGAAAGCGUGGGGAGCAAACAGG
rnacentral:rRNA from 1 species